rnacentral:rRNA from 1 species
GAUGAACGCUGGCGGCGUGCCUAAUACAUGCAAGUCGAGCGAACAGACGAGGAGCUUGCUCCUCUGACGUUAGCGGCGGACGGGUGAGUAACACGUGGAUAACCUACCUAUAAGACUGGGAUAACUUCGGGAAACCGGAGCUAAUACCGGAUAAUAUAUUGAACCGCAUGGUUCAAUAGUGAAAGACGGUUUUGCUGUCACUUAUAGAUGGAUCCGCGCCGCAUUAGCUAGUUGGUAAGGUAACGGCUUACCAAGGCAACGAUGCGUAGCCGACCUGAGAGGGUGAUCGGCCACACUGGAACUGAGCCACGGUACAGACUCCUACGGGAGGCAGCAGUAGGGAAUCUUCCGCAAUGGGCGAAAGCUUGACGGAGCACCGCCGCGUGAGUGAUGAAGGUCUUCGGAUCGUAAAACUCUGUUAUUAGGGAAGAACAAAUGUGUAAGUAACUAUGCACGUCUUGACGGUACCUAAUCAGAAAGCCACGGCUAACUACGUG